UUAAUAAUCCAUGAAGCACUUCAUCCAGUAGCUUUUCUCUCCGUGACAACAAAAGCAGACUUUUAUUAUGUUGUUAGCAGUUAGUAGAGUAGGCGGGGAGGAGCUGAGUAAAUUUAUUCUGACGUCACACGACAGCAUUUCGACUAGGAGCAGGGUUUCAGUCACGUGAUUAUGAUGACGCGCGAGGGCGGGAAGAAGGCAGAUGGAGGGCAGGAAGUAAACAUGGAGAAUACGUCUAUAGAGGAAACCGUUGCAGAGAGUCAGUAUUGUACGGAUUUAGAUCCAGUUUCAAGACAUAGAUACAAGGAGUUAAUUGACAGAUAUGUUGGACGUGACCCGUACCUCAUGAAGAUGAGUGAGUUUUCAGUAGAACUGAAAGAUUUACCGACAGUUGAGGCUAUCUGGUCCUUCAGACAUCGUACUACACCAGACAGCAAAUGAAGGCCUAUAAAAGUCUGGAGGCUUACAACUUUUUUUGUCAACGGGUGGGUCCACAACCUCGGUGUCAAACGGCUCCACGAUGAUCAUCGUUUGGUCUUCGCCAGAGUAAACACUCUCAGAGGUCAAGCGAAACACCUCUGAAGACCUGGAUUAUUGCGAAGGAGGAUGGAGAAGUCAUUGCACACACACACACACACACACACACACACACCGUACUGCUAGCAUACUGUGUACUUCAGAACCAGCGGAGAGAGAGCUUUAAGGAAUAAACGUGUUGAUUAAUGUAAAGUGCUACUCCAUCCAUAUUAGUAUAAACUAUCAGAAUCGUGUCCUCAUGUAGGGGCAGUUCUUUUUUCCAUUGAAGUUGGGGUAAAGAUGCGAGAUUCAGCUUCCUGCACAACAGAGCAGUGCAAGUGGCUGAUGCCAUCACAUGUAAAAAAGUUAUGGAUGCAAACAUGAAGCACAAGCCAGAGGAGCAUAUGAGAAGCUGAUGGUUCGGGAGCAUGCAGGCUUCUCCUGUAUGGACAGUGGUCUCUGGCUGAACCCCAAGUGGCCAUACAUGGGGUCCUCCCCUGAUGGGAUUGUCACGGAACUGGCAUCUGCGGGAUUAAGUGCCCACACUCUCACCAAGAUGAAGCCAAUCUGAGCAUGUGUGCAGGGGAAAAGAGUUUCUGCCUCAACAAUGAUGGGGAUAAUGUUAAACUGGACCGAAGUCAUGACUACUACUACCAAGUUCAGGCACAGCUUCACAUUGUAGAUGCUAAGUACUGUGACUUUGUUGUGUGGAACUGUAAUGACAUUAUUUUGGAAAGGAUUUUGCCUGAUUUUGAACUUUGGGAUGAUGUGAUUCCUAAAGUUGAGUGCUUUUUUAGAAACUGUAUACUUCCAGAAAUACUGGGACAGCAAGUUACAAACUUACAUGUGUAAAAUAUGAUGAAACAUUAUGUACUUAGUUCUAGGCACUCUUGAAAGUGGGCUGUGUGAUACAUUGCUGUUAUAUCAAUACUGUUGUAUGAGACAUGACAUUUUGAAUAUUGUUAUGAUUAAAUGCUAUUGAGAAUGCAGAAUAAUACCUUUUAAGUUGAAUUACUGAAAUAAAUGAACUUUUGCA